CAUUGAAGGAAGGUGGUUCGGGCGGCAGUGGGAUGGAGAGGCUUCCGGAGCAGUCAGCUGGAGCGCCCUGGCACUAAGUGCGUUCCUCUGGCAAAGAAGAAAAUAAUUUCUGUCCCUCGCCAUCUGCUGCAUGGGAAGAUGGGAAUGGAGUGAGCACGGUAUGAGGGGAUCAGGAACGUCAAGGGGCUGUGUCCAGCUGCCCAAACCAUCCAAGAGGCCGGCACCGUGCUGAGGACAGUGGCGGGGACAGGAGCCAAGGUUCAUCAUCGUACCCCAAGGCCUGGGCAAGACAGAUGCUGCGUCCUGCAAUGGCCCCACCAUGGACCCUCGUCAUCCAACCGAAGUCGCCCCCUUGCCUGGCUUUAUCUUCACUAUAUUGUGAGGCUGCUUCAUUGAAUCUUAUCCCAGACUUUAA
rnacentral:lncRNA from 1 species